AAGAAACAUGUCUUAUUUAUCUCUCCUGGUCUGGCAUAUUUCUCUCAAUACCACCAUCUCCACUUCUGUCCCUUUUUCUGCACAUGCUAAGCCUUAAAGUUCUUGUCUUCCUAGUAAAUGGAAUGUGUAUCUUAGAAGCACGCUUGCAUUCCGUGAGAGUUCAACUCUCUCCCAGGUCCUUGUAUACUAUCUUGUUUCCCCUCAGUCUUUGCUGGACUUGUCUUUUUCUCUUCAUGUAAAAUAUACCUGAA
rnacentral:lncRNA from 1 species